rnacentral:rRNA from 1 species
UACGUAGGGUGCGAGCGUUAAUCGGAAUUACUGGGCGUAAAGCGUGCGCAGGCGGCGCGUUAAGACAGGUGUGAAAGCCCCGAGCUUAACUUGGGAAUUGCGCUUGUGACUGGCGUGCUGGAGUGUGGCAGAGGGAGGUGGAAUUCCACGUGUAGCAGUGAAAUGCGUAGAUAUUCGGAGGAACACCGAUGGCGAAGGCAGCCACCUGGUUCUUUAUUGACGCUGAGGCGCGAAAGCGUGGGGAUCAAACAGG